CCUGGUAGCGGGGGAUAACUAUUGGAAACGAUAGCUAAUACCGCAUAACAGUAGAUAUCGCAUGAUAUGUGCUUGAAAGGUGCAAUUGCAUCACUACCAGAUGGACCUGCGUUGUAUAGCUAGUUGGUGAGGUAACGGCUCACCAAGGCAACGAUACAUAGCCGACCUGAGAGGGUGAUCGGCCACACUGGGACUGAGACACGGCCCAG
rnacentral:rRNA from 1 species